CCUACGGGAGGCUGUAGUGGGGAAUAUUGGACAAUGGGGGGAACCCUGAUCCAGCCAUGCCGCGUGUGUGAAGAAGGCCCUCGGGUUGUAAAGCACUUUCAGUGAGGAAGAACGCCUGGUGGUUAAUACCCAUCAGGAAAGACAUCACUCACAGAAGAAGCACCGGCUAACUCCGUGCCAGCAGCCGCGGUAAUACGGAGGGUGCGAGCGUUAAUCGGAAUUACUGGGCGUAAAGCGCGCGUAGGUGGCUUGAUAAGCCGGUUGUGAAAGCCCCGGGCUCAACCUGGGAAGGGCAUCCGGAACUGUCAAGCUAGAGUGCAGGAGAGGAAGGUAGAAUUCCCGGUGUAGCGGUGAAAUGCGUAGAGAUCGGGAGGAAUACCAGUGGCGAAGGCGGCCUUCUGGACUGACACUGACACUGAGGUGCGAAAGCGUGGGUAGCAAACAGGAUUAGAUACCCUGGUAGUC
rnacentral:rRNA from 1 species